AGAGUUUUAAGUUAAAUUAAACUAUAAAUUUUCAAAGUUUAAAAUAUAUACAUAAUUUAUAAAUUCUA
rnacentral:tRNA from 1 species